GACGAACGCUGGCGGCGUGCUUAACACAUGCAAGUCGAACGGAAAGGCCCUGCUUUUGUGGGGUGCUCGAGUGGCGAACGGGUGAGUAACACGUGAGUAACCUGCCCUUGACUUUGGGAUAACUUCAGGAAACUGGGGCUAAUACCGGAUAGGAGCUCCUGCUGCAUGGUGGGGGUUGGAAAGUUUCGGCGGUUGGGGAUGGACUCGCGGCUUAUCAGCUUGUUGGUGGGGUAGUGGCUUACCAAGGCUUUGACGGGUAGCCGGCCUGAGUGGGUGACCGGCCACAUUGGGACUGAGAUACGGCCCAGACUCCUACGGGAGGCAGCAGUGGGGAAUAUUGCACAAUGGGCGGAAGCCUGAUGCAGCAACGCCGCGUGCGGGAUGACGGCCUUCGGGUUGUAAACCGCUUUCGCCUGUGACGAAGCGUGAGUGACGGUAAUGGGUAAAGAAGCACCGGCUAACUACG
rnacentral:rRNA from 1 species